rnacentral:rRNA from 1 species
GCGAAGAACCUUACCAAGGCUUGACAUACACCGGAUCGGCUCAGAGAUGGGUUUUCCUCCUUGUGGGGCUGGUGUACAGGUGGUGCAUGGUUGUCGUCAGCUCGUGUCGUGAGAUGUUGGGUUAAGUCCCGCAACGAGCGCAACCCUCGUUCUAUGUUGCCAGCACGUGAUGGUGGGGACUCAUAGGAGACUGCCGGGGUCAACUCGGAGGAAGGUGGGGAUGACGUCAAAUCAUCAUGCCCCUUAUGUCUUGGGCUUCACGCAUGCUACAAUGGCCAGUACAAUGGGUUGCGAUACCGUGAGGUGGAGCUAAUCCCAAAAAGCUGGUCUCAGUUCGGAUCGUGGUCUGCAACUCGACCACGUGAAGUCGGAGUCGCUAGUAAUCGCAGAUCAGCAACGCUGCGGUGAAUACGUUCCCGGGCCUUGUACACACCGCCCGUCAAGUCACGAAAGUUGGUAACACCCGAAGCCGGUGGCCUAACCCUUGUGGGGGGAGCCGUCGAAGGUGGGACUGGCGAUUGG